GUUUAUUUUCUCAUCCCUAGUGGCAAUGACUCAGGACCAAGUCAUCCCUUUUUUUACAGGAAUUACCUAUGAAGGAAACUGGAAACUCUGUGAUGUCUCUCUGGCGUCUUUCCCUCCAGCUGGUGCCUCUGAACCUCUUCUGAAGGGGCCUGUGCAGAGCAGAGCUUCUGUAUUGCUGAUCCCAUAGAUUUGCUUCCUUCAGUUUCUGGAAGCAGGAACAUCAGUUAAUCAGGCUGCAGUUACGCAGAGGAUGCAAAUACUAGAGCCACUGAUGACCACAAGGUGUGCAUAUCUGAUCUUGAUCUAUAAUUGACAGUACAUAAAAUCACCACAGAGCACAGAGCACAGAACCCUCUAUGAUGGCAAUGCUCUGGCAACUCACAACAAAUAGAAAACAAAACCAGAAGUCAGGACUUGAAAAAACAGCUGAAGAUACCCAGAAAUGGCAACAAGAAAUUUUCACGGGUCCAGACAAUGAACAUACUAUCAAUAAGUCAGAGGCAGAAAUACUAUCACUAAAACCAUGGAAGAAGUCCUGGAAUCUCGCUGAGGUGCACAGAUACGGAUUGCAGCGUACAUUGCUCUUCUACGGGCCGACGAGAUUUUGUGGUGGCUUUUGUUUUCAGAUUCGAGUGCCGAGGGCUCAACAGGUGGUGCGGGGAUAAAGUUCUGGCAAAUCAAAUAGGUAAUGCGGUUAUUUCUUUUGUCAAAUUGUAAUUAAAAACAGGGACAAGUAAAAUGAAACUCACAUUUUGCUGGUGCAAAACGGGGUUUAGAAUUAAAUUCAAAUCGGUUUCCAUGACAAAUAUACAUUACUACUGGAGCUUGGUCUGUAAAUAAACAUGCGACACCUUAGUUUUGAUGUAGAAAG
rnacentral:lncRNA from 1 species